rnacentral:tRNA from 1 species
GGGUAUAUAGCUCACUGGUAGAGUGUGUGCUUAGCAUGCAUGAGGUCCUGGAUUCAAUCCCCAGCACCUCCA